UACGUAGGGCGCAAGCGUUAUCCGGAAUUAUUGGGCGUAAAGAGCUUGUAGGCGGUUUGUCGCGUCUGCUGUGAAAAUCCGGGGCUCAACCCCGGACUUGCAGUGGGUACGGGCAGACUAGAGUGUGGUAGGGGAGACUGGAAUUCCUGGUGUAGCGGUGGAAUGCGCAGAUAUCAGGAGGAACACCGGUGGCGAAGGCGGAUCUCUGGGCCUUACCUGACGCUGAGGCGCGAAAGCUAGGGGAGCGAACAGG
rnacentral:rRNA from 1 species